CGAAAGUGUACCUGGCCCUUUUCACCUAUGUCUGUGAUCGCUUGAAGCGAAAUCAGCCAACUGUUGGAACAUCUUUAGUGGUGACCUGCAUCUGCUCACAGGUCGAGGCCGAACCGUUUUCCUUGUGCUUCGCUUGUCAGGAGUCUUUCCUUCAGUCCCAUCUAAGCAUCCACUUUGAAUCUAAAAGGCACCUCAUCAACACACUGCUGUACCUGAAUCCUUGGCGGCUGCCUUUUGGCUGGCAGGACAGCCUGGACGAAAGCCCACUGAGGUUGAUGGCAAGAGAGGAGGAAGGAGAAGGCACAGAUGUUAUUUUGAAGGUAAACGCAAACUGAUGUCAACUAUGACUCGACAAAUAAAAGCUUAACGUCUACAUUGUGAAAAUAUUCUCUUUUUUUCAGGUUUUUGAUCUGUCAUAUGAAAUGUUUUGUAAGCUCAUACCUACAGACUACAGACAUGGUAGGAUUUUCAUUAUUACCCUCUGCCAUAAAUUUACGUUUAUUAAUGCAUUGUCUUUUUUCUUGAACUGCAGUGAUGAACAGACUUCAAGUGUAUCACAUGCCUUUAAAGUGUGAAGUUCCAAAAAAGCAAACCUUUAGCAAACUCCAACAAAAUGAGAAGUUUCCUCUGCUUGGCAUGCAGUUUUUGGUGGUUUACAAUGCCUUGUCCAGUGACUGGGAGUCUGUGCAAAAGAACCCUCUGUGUUUGCUCUGUAAAAGGAAACUGACGCAGAAUGAAUAUCCAGUUCACGUGUUCAGCUGGGAACACGUGAUGCUUUUUCUGAAUGCCUUUCACCCCGGCUCACUGAACUUCAGUACUGUUGAUGCAGAAACGUUGUUGGAUUUGGCAAAACAGGCAGGCUCUGUUCACCACCUAUCCUGUGUGCAGGAAAUUUGCCUGGAUAGGCCCAUCGUUGAGCCGUGUUCCUAUCAAAAAGGUGAGUCGUUUGUGCACUUUUUUUUUUUUAACCAAAACUGUCAUGAAAACUUAUUGGCUGUAUCAUUUCAGCAACGCAGAUCUUGGCCUCUGCAAAGAGGAAGGAAGGAAAAGGAAGUCUGG
rnacentral:lncRNA from 1 species